rnacentral:misc_RNA from 1 species
AGAAUAAUAAGAAUCUAACAGCAACAAAACGCAUGAUCCACAUUCCAAAGUCAGGAAAAGGAAAACUAUGUGCAAAAAAGCAGAAAUCAGGAAUUUAUAUUUUAUAGUCACUUUGGUGGCUCAGGUUAGAUGAAACAUGUAAUCCAGACUGCAAGAAAGCAACCAAGACACAAUGGACAAGUGAACUCAGCACUCCUAUUAAAGGAGUCUCAA